GGCGAUGUAGCUCAGUUGGUCAGAGCAUCCGGCUCAUAUCCGGGGGGUCAUUGGUUCAAAUCCGAUCAUCGCCA
rnacentral:tRNA from 1 species